rnacentral:ncRNA from 1 species
UGACUGCAACGGCUUCCUGAAGCAGUUUACACUUCAUUGGAGCA